UACGUAGGGUGCAAGCGUUGUCCGGAUUUAUUGGGCGUAAAGAGCUCGUAGGCGGUUUGUCGCGUCGGCUGUGAAAGCCCGGAGCUCAACUCCGGGUCUGCAGUCGAUACGGGCAGACUUGAGUGUUGCAGGGGAGACUGGAAUUCCUGGUGUAGCGGUGAAAUGCGCAGAUAUCAAGGAGGAACACCGGUGGCGAAGGCGGGUCUCUGGGCAACACUGACGCUGAGGAGCGAAAGCGUGGGGAGCGAACAGG
rnacentral:rRNA from 1 species